CCCUUAGAUGUUCUGGGCUGCACACGUGCUACACUGGCAGGUUCAGCGAGCUUCAUGCCCUGAUCUGAAAGGAAUGGGAAAUCUUUUCAAAACCUGCCGUGCUUGGGAUAGAUGUUUGCAAUUAUUCAUCUUCAACGAGGAUUGCCUUGUAAGCGCACGUCAUCAGCGUGCAUUGAAUACGACCCUGUAUUCUGUACACACCGCCCGUCGCUCCUACCGAUUGAAGUUUUCGGUGAGUUGUCAGGAGGAUUUUUUUGAAACUGGUUCGCCAGUGGAUUUUAGAUCCAAAUGCCAACGAAUCGAUGGCUUUAGAGGAAGGAGAAGUCGUAACA
rnacentral:rRNA from 1 species